AGUAUGUGAGAAAUAAACUAGAAAGAAAGGAUAACUGAAAUGAUUAAAUUUGGUGCACUGGGAUGAUUCAAAACAAAUCUUCAAAUUGACAAUGGCAAAAAGCAAGUUGAAAUGGAAUACUGCAGUUGAUGAAAAUGGUCUGCUCAGCUCUGCAAAGCCAUCGACUUGAAUACAUUGGUUAUUUUCCUUGUACUAACAAUAUGGAAAUAAAAUUUGUUUGAAAAUUUGAAAGGCU
rnacentral:lncRNA from 1 species